GAUGAACGCUGGCGGCGUGCCUAAUACAUGCAAGUCGAGCGAACGGACGAGAAGCUUGCUUCUCUGAUGUUAGCGGCGGACGGGUGAGUAACACGUGGAUAACCUACCUAUAAGACUGGGAUAACUUCGGGAAACCGGAGCUAAUACCGGAUGAUAUUUUGAACCGCAUGGUUCAAAAGUGAAAGACGGUCUUGCUGUCACUUAUAGAUGGAUCCGCGCUGCAUUAGCUAGUUGGUAAGGUAACGGCUUACCAAGGCAACGAUGCAUAGCCGACCUGAGAGGGUGAUCGGCCACACUGGAACUGAGACACGGUCCAGACUCCUACGGGAGGCAGCAGUAGGGAAUCUUCCGCCAUGGGCGAAAGCCUGACGGAGCAACGCCGCGUGAGUGAUGAAGGUCUUCGGAUCGUAAGACUCUGUUAUUAGGGAAGAACAUAUGUGUAAGUACAUGCGCACAUCUUGACGGUACCUAAUCAGAAAGCCACGGCUAACUACGCG
rnacentral:rRNA from 1 species